GAUGAAGAACGCAGCGAAAUGCGAUAAGUAAUGUGAAUUGCAGAUUUCAGUGAAUCAUCGAAUCUUUGAACGCACCUUGCGCCCUGUGGUAUUCCGCAGGGCAUGCCCGUUUGAGUGUCAUUAAAUCAUCAACUCUAAACACCUUGUGUGUCUAGUGCUUGGUCUUGAGGGUCUUGCAGGCGCCUGGCCGUCUGCUCCCUUUAAAUCUAUUAGCGAGACUUCCCUUUGCUGACCGUCUCUUGGCGUGAUAGUUAUCUGCGUCAACAUGAGCGGUUCUCGUUGGGCUUGCUUCUAACCGUCUUCGGACAGUCGAUUUGGGUGCAUAUAUGCGCUUCAUUUCAAACUUUUUUGACCUCAAAUCGGGUAGGACUACCCGCUGAACUUAAGCAUAUCAAUAAGCGGAGGA
rnacentral:misc_RNA from 1 species